rnacentral:rRNA from 1 species
UCUCCUUGAAAAAGGGUGGUAAUGCCGGAUGCUCCAGUUGGAUGCAUGUCCUUCUGGGAAAGAUUCAUCGGUAUGGGAUGGGGUCGCGUCCUAUCAGCUUGAUGGCGGGGUAACGGCCCACCAUGGCUUCGACGGGUAGCCGGCCUGAGAGGGCGACCGGCCACAUUGGGACUGAGAUACGGCCCAGACUCCUACGGGAGGCAGCAGUGGGGAAUAUUGCACAAUGGGCGCAAGCCUGAUGCAGCGACGCCGCGUGCGGGAUGACGGCCUUCGGGUUGUAAACCGCUUUUGACUGGGAGCAAGCCCUUCGGGGUGAGUGUACCUUUCGAAUAAGCACCGGCUAACUACGUGCCAGCAGCCGCGGUAAUACGUAGGGUGCAAGCGUUAUCCGGAAUUAUUGGGCGUAAAGGGCUCGUAGGCGGUUCGUCGCGUCCGGUGUGAAAGUCCAUCGCUUAACGGUGGAUCCGCGCCGGGUACGGGCGGGCUUGAGUGCGGUAGGGGAGACUGGAAUUCCCGGUGUAACGGUGGAAUGUGUAGAUAUCGGAAAAAAAACACCACCC